CCUAGAUCCACGGGUCGCCGCCUUCUCAUCUCCUCUUCUUGCAGACGACGGGAGUAGCAGCGAAAACAAUGGACGAAAAAAAGAGGGCUGCGUCGGCUGGCGUUCGAAUGUGUGAGGUCGCAUCAGAUUGUGCUCUCUCUGUGUUCAUUCAUUUCGAUCCAUGUAUUAGGUUUUAAGUUGUGUGAUGUAGUUACUGUGGAUGCAAGAUUAACGCAAAAUCUCAUGCCGGCCAAAAAAAAAAAAUGGAAUGUUCUCCUCCCUGUUUGAGAGACGUCCCCGGGCCAUGUCCGAUCAUGAAGGGGAUGGAGCCAUAGAGCCCAAAGGGCGACUCGUGGAGGGGAUCAGUUGGAGAUUGAACAUGUCUUGCAACGACAAUUCAGGAUUUGGUCGAUCUAUGUACAUCCGAGAGGUUGAGGCGGUCCUUGUGAAGCGAUGCACUUUUUGUCUGUGAUGUUGGCUCACUGGAUAACAGGCUGCAGCAACGUCCCGAUGCGAGCUAAUGAUAUAAGAUGUCCGGGAGGAGUAGCACUAGCCGCUGCUCUGCCAGGAGGACUGCCGUCACCAUUGCCAGGAGGCCAUCCUCACAUUCGGUUGCAUGGUCGAGUGGGAGAAAUGGGGCGUUGACGUACCGGCAAGGCGAAGCUGCAGCUGAUCUAAAGUACUCCCUCCGUUCCUUCUAUAAAGACUAAGAGGGGGAUAGAAGUUAUACAGAUAAGACAUCAGGUUAUUAUUCCUUCUAUCUGUGCAUCCGUUGAUUUAUUGCCAAAUCACGUCUCUUUAGCUUUUGCAGUAGCUUCAUGCUGCUUUUGGAUUGAAAGCUGCAAUGUAAAUGUGUGUUGACAUCACUCAUCUAUCUGUUGUAGGUGGCGAAUUUUUUUCAUUCAUUUCUUACUUUAAAGCUUGCUAUUAAGUUGUCAUUUGAUUCACAUGGUUUAGUGGGUCAUGGAUUUAUAAAGCUACCUAGCAUAGAAUAAUAUUGUGAGCCAGUUGAAAGUAUAGUUUGGGCGGUAAUUUAAUUUUUCAGCUUAAUAAUAAGUGCGAACUUGAGAAGGAAAUGACAAUUGGGAAGUGUUUCUUCUGGUUGGUUCAUUGCUUGAUCCAUUCACCAUUAUUUAGCCUGAGGUUGCAACACUAAUACAUAAUACUGCCAUGGAGAGUGGAGAAUGCAAAGAUAUGCGUUACUACUUGAUGUUUGACUUUAUGGGGAGAGGUUCGUUGGGCUCGGAUGCUAAUUUUAUUUGCGAUCGAUGUGUUUCUGAUGCGCGGUAUGCCUCUGGGCCUUGGACGAGGAAGGCCUAGCAGGUCCGUUGCUCUCAGGCUUGCGUGUCGCGUUCGCUUAGUUCAUCACCGUCUUCUAUUAUUGGCUCUAUGGUUGAUCAUUAGUCCACUCGGUCUGUUGUUCCCGCUGGUGGAAUCUUCUGCUGAUAAGGAUGCUCUGAGGUGCUUGGCAACGGCUGGUCAAGCCUCCUGAUGAAUUGACACCUGAACUCUCACUUUGGAUGCAUCUUCUAAACCAAGGGGACAACUGUGAAUACUUUGAUGUGGUGGGUGAUAUUGAUUGGCUGAAUUAGUUCUGUGCUCACAAGUCGUCCGAGAGGAGCACUAGGGAGAGUGAGACUCCAGUUUGCCUUGGAGGCACUGAGCAUUAACCUAACGACCAGGAUUUAUAUUUUUAAAUGGAGGGAGGGAGUAGCAUUCAAAUUUCACACAACUCAGCUAUGUCUAGAUGAUAGAUGCAAGUGGCCUCUUCUUGAUGUGGCUGAACAUGCUGAUGCGCUCCUAGAUGGUGUGCCUUAUACCUAGGCUCUGAUGUGAUCAUGUUUUGCAGACUAUGGUACCUUUGAUUUAUAACAGUCAAGAUAAAGGACAGGCAACUGAGCUGAUGAAUAACAUUUUUGGCAAGGAUACAAUUGUUGACAUAGAAUCAACUAUCAAACCUAGCCAGAUGAUAAAAAGCAAGUAGUUCUUCAGCAAUCACACGUCAUUGUACAAGUUAUC